UACGGAGGGGGCUAGCGUUGUUCGGAAUUACUGGGCGUAAAGCGCGCGUAGGCGGACCUGCAAGUCGGGGGUGAAAGCCCGAGGCUUAACCUCGGAACUGCCUUCGAUACUGCGGGUCUCGAGUCCGGGAGAGGUGAGUGGAAUUCCUAGUGUAGAGGUGAAAUUCGUAGAUAUUAGGAAGAACACCAGUGGCGAAGGCGGCUCACUGGCCCGGUACUGACGCUGAGGCGCGAAAGCGUGGGGAGCAAACAGG
rnacentral:rRNA from 1 species